rnacentral:lncRNA from 1 species
AUGUUCACCAACUGUUGACUGUUCUCAGCCAACCAUAAAGAUAUCGGGAUAUUCUAUCUACUAUUCAGUGCAUGAGCAGGGAUAGUGGGUCCAGAUUUAAGCCUCCUUAUUCAAGCUGAACUGGGCCAACCAGGUACUCUUUUAGGAGAUGAUCAAAUUUAUAAUGUCAUCAUUACAGCUCAUGCAUUUGUCAUAAUUUUCUUUAUAGUAAUGCCAAUUAUAAUUGGAGGCUUUGGCAACUGAUUAGUUCCUCUGAUAAUUCACCCCCCCCAUAUAGCAUUUCCCUGCAUAAAUAGUAGAAGCUUCUGACUCCUCUCACCCUCUUUCCUACUAUUAUUUGCAUCCGCUAUAGUAGAGGCAGGUGCUAUUAACUUUAUUACCACAAUUAUUAAUAUAAACCCCCAGCCAUGUCCCAAUAUCACACACCCCUCUUCAUCUGAUCAGUCUUAAUUACAGCAGUUCUUCUACUCCUUUCUCUCCCAGUCCUAGCUGCUGGCAUUACUAUAUCGUUAACUGACCGCAAUCUGAAUACUACUUUUUUCGACCCAGUUAGUGGAGGUGAUCCUAUCUUAUAUCAGCAUUUAUUCUGAUUCUUUGGUCACCCUGAAGUGUAUAUCCUCAUCUUACCAGGCUUCGGAUAAUUUCCCAUAUCGUAACAUAUUAUUCUGGAAAAAAAAGAACCAUUUGGGUAUAUGGGCAUAGUAUGAGCCAUAAUAUCAAUUGGCUUCUUAGGGUUUAUCAUAUGGGCCCACCACAUAUUUACAGGAGGAAUAGAUGUAGAUACACGAGCAUAUUUCACCUCUGCUACUAUAAUUAUUGCUAUUCCUACUGGUGUCAAAGUCUUUAGCUGGCUAGCUACACUUCACAGCAGUAGUAUCAAAUGAUCCCCCACAAUGCUCUGAGCCCUGGGAUUUAUUUUCCUUUUUACAACAGGAGGCCUAACCGGCAUCGUACUAGCCAAUUCAUCACUGGAUAUUGUACUACAUGAUAGAUAUUAUGUUGUAGCCCAUUUCCAUUAUGCCUUAUCAAAAGGAACCAUAUUUGCCAUUAUGGGAGGCUUUGUUCACUGAUUCCCUCUAUUUUCAGGUUAUACUCAAUCAAAUCUAUGCUAAAACUCACUUUGCUAUUAUAUUUGUAAGUGUGAAUUUAACUUUUUUCCCACAGCACUUCCUUGGCCUAUCUGGUAUGCCUCGAUGUUACUCCAGUUAUCCUGACACGUACACCGCAUGAAAUAUUAUUUCAUCUGUAGGCUCAUUUAUUUCCCUAACAGCAGUAAUACUAAUAAUUUUCAUGGUCUGAGAAGCCUUCACUUCAAAAUGAAAAGUUCUAAUAGUUGAGCAACCAUCUACCAACUUAGAAUGACUAUAAGGCUGUCCACCAACCCAUCACACAUUCGAAGAACCAACCUACAUGAAGACC